GAUGAAGAACGUAGCGAAAUGCGAUACGUAAUGUGAAUUGCAGAAUUCAGUGAAUCAUCGAGUCUUUGAACGCACAUUGCGCCCCCUGGUAUUCCGGGGGGCAUGCCUGUCCGAGCGUCAUUGCUGCCCUCAAGCACGGCUUGUGUGUUGGGCCUCCGUCCUCCUCCCGGGGGACGGGCCCGAAAGGCAGCGGCGGCACCGCGUCCGGUCCUCGAGCGUAUGGGGCUUCGUCACCCGCUCUUGUAGGNNNNNCCGGCGCUUGCCGACACAUCAAUCUUUUUUCCAGGUUGACCUCGGAUCAGGUAGGGAUACCCGCUGAACUUAAGCAUAUCAAUAAGCGGAGGA
rnacentral:misc_RNA from 1 species